rnacentral:lncRNA from 1 species
CAAAUAUAUGUGGGGAGGAGAGGUAGAGGGGUGGAGGGCAGCUUCUGCUCCUGAACUGGUAGGGCACUGGUCAGCGGAUGGUGGUGUAGUGUGCAUCAUUUCUUUUCUCUGUCUCUGUCUGUUUCUCUUAUCGGUAUGUCAAUAUCUCUAUGACUACCUCUAUGUGUUUCUCAGUAUCUCUACCUCUAUCUGUACUUGUGUCUUCAUACCUCCACCUCUACAUCUUUUUGUUUUGUCUCAGGAGUUCUACUUUGGUAUUCUGUUCUGAUUCUCUCCCCCAUCCCGCUGGAAGAGGACGGUCAAUAAUGAACGUGUGUUGCUGAGCUGCUGCCAGGUUAAACCACAACUCUUUUGGAAUCCAACGUGUGGCCCGAAGGGCUGGGGUAACAUAGACCUCAUCAGAGUGUGUUAAAAAGGAAUUGUGGAAUUGUUACAUCUGUUCUGGUAGUUUAAUAGCUUCUGGGCACCGUGUUAGCUUUGUAAUUAUUUUUGGAAAUCUUUUGGAGUGUUUUCUGGUAAUGAUUACAUUUCACACCCUAGUUGCUUCUUAUGCUCCCUCCUGUGCUGUUUACCAUCUUAGGGGGCUGGAAGAAGAUGAUCAUUUUGCUGUGAUGUGUAAUAUCUGGUUCUGACCUGCUGAAGUUACUGCUCAGGAGACUCAGCUGGUGUUUUUACUCCACAUUGUCAUCAUCUUCAUACUUAGGCAACCAUCUCUCAGGAACUAUGAAGAAUUACACAUUUUCCUUUGUGUCUUUAGAGAGCCAUACUACGGAAGCGUGAACGGGACAUGUUUUUCACCAUUUCCUCAUUUUACUUUCUCCUUCAGGUACCUGUUAUUUUUCAGCCUAGUUACAGUAGUUCUUGAGAAUACCACAUAUGCUGGAGAUGUUCAAACCAGCAUGAUCCUACUGCUGUGUCUCCUGAAUACAUUUCUGGUUUUGUCUAAGUUUAACCGACUCUUUAUUAAGGCAACCCAGAGAUCUGCCCUGUUGCAGUGUCAGGCUGUGUGUGAGGAUAUCAGCAUGCCCCUGGAAGAGUGCACGCCGUCAGUGCUUUGGAACUCCACCCCAGAACAAAUGCAGGUUCCAGAAAAACUGUCAAACUGUUUGUAGCAGAUACACCAUCGCUCUGGCAAUUGUAGAGAGACACCAAUGACUGCAGCGUGCUGGGGCUUGGCCUGUGCCGACUGCACCUUGAUCAAUGAAGUUCUCUGACUCUGAUGACAGUGUGACAGGCCCUGCGGAUGCUCCAACUUCUGUGAUAGGCCCUGCUUCUGUGAUAGGUCCAGCCCUCACUACAGUCCCUAUGGUUGCUUUGAGGCCUGUGUCAGUUGCAGUGGAGGCUCCAAGCCCUGUUAUGUGCUCUUUGGCUGCUCCAACUAUCAUGACAAGCCUGUAGUUACUGCAACCCUGCUAUCAGCCCUGCAGUUGCUCCAGCUCCUGCAUCACAGCCUAUGGUUGCUUCAAAUCCUGUGGCAGGCCCAGUAGUCUCACCAGUCCUCAAAACAGGCCCCAGAGUCAGUGCAUUCCUAGUGACAAGCCCUGCUGUUUCUUCAACUCCCAUGAGAGGCCUUGUGGUUGCUCCAACGCAUGGAAUAGGCCCUGGAUUACACCAGUUCUGUAAAUGGUCUCUGUGGUUUCUCCAACUCAUGUGACAGGCCCUGAGGUUUCUCCUUCCCUGGGAUAGGUGCCGUGGUUGCUUCAAUGCACUCAGCACACUCUGUGGUUGCUCCAAGUCCCAUGACAAGCCCUACAGUUGCUCCAGGUUCUGCAGUAGGCCUUGAAGUGAUUCCAACCCUGAAAACAUGCCCUCCGCUUUCUCCAGUCCCUCUGACAAGUCUUCUGUCUGAACCAGGGAACCAUUUGUGUCAGUCUUAGUUGCCCCUGGAUGUAGGAUGAGACAAUGACUGUAAAUGUCAACUUAUUGUCAGUAUCCAUGCAGGAGGUAGUAACCAUCUUUCUCCUGUCCAUGCAUUUAGUGGAUGGAGUUGUUCAUGACAAGUUGCAGAAACCUCUGAAGGAGAGGGCUUCUAGUUACUAUCAUGCUUUGAAGGGAAAGGAAUGUAAGAGGGAAGCACGUCUGUAUCUGAGUGAAGAUGAGAGCCUGACAUUGCCGUAACAAGAAGAGGCUUCCAUAGUUGGUAUGGUAUGGUUGGAGAACUACUCUGGACUACAUUUUCAAAUAGAGAUAAGGAGGUUGCAAUGAGCAGACUACAAAUAAUCAAGAGAAUUCAUAUCCCUUGGAAGGAUGCUGAAGGGAUUGGGAGCAUAGGUAGUGUUCUCCUCCCUAAAAGUUGUUCUGAAGGAAUUAGGGAGGGAGCCUCCAGGAACAAAACACAUUUUAAAGCCUGGCUGAAGUUCCUCUAUCCUAGUGCAGGCAUCCUGGGAAAUAAGAAAUAGGUGGAAACCACAACUUUGAAAAUCAGGAAAUUAUUACCUCUUUUUUUUGUCAUGGAAAUGUGGUGAGAAGCUCUACACAAUUGGAACUCUGCAAUCAAGAGCCACAAGCUGUUUACAAGAGUUAGACAGGAAAGGAUAGGCAAGGCUGUUACACGCUAGGAAAACUUGGGAGAUCACAGACACAUAAGCAUCAUGUUUGUGCCAGGGGAAAUUCUCCCAGUAGCCAUGUUAAGACACAUGUAAGUAAAGGAGGUGAUCCGAGACAGCCAGCAUUGCUUCACCAAGGGCAGAUUGUGUCUGACCCAUGUGUUGUUCUUCUAUGGUGGAGUAAGAGCAUCAGAGGACAAAGGAAGUGUAAGUGAUGUCAUGCACAUGGACUUGUGCAAGGCUUU